rnacentral:rRNA from 1 species
GACGAACGCUGGCGGCGUGCUUAACACAUGCAAGUCGAACGGAAAGGCCCUGCUUUUGUGGGGUGCUCGAGUGGCGAACGGGUGAGUAACACGUGAGUAACCUUCCCUUUACUUUGGGAUAACUUCAGGAAACUGGUGCUAAUACCGGAUAGGAGCUCCUGCUGCAUGGUGGGGUUUGGAACGUUUCGGCGGUUGGGGAUGGACUCGCGGCUUAUCAGCUUGUUGGUGGGGUAGUGGCUUACCAAGGCUUUGACGGGUAGCCGGCAUGAGAGGGUGACCGGCCACAUUGGGACUGAGAUACGGCCCAGACGCCUACGGGAGGCAGCAGUGGGGAAUAUUGCACAAUGGGCGGAAGCCUGAUGCAGCAACGCCGCGUGCGGGAUGACGGCCUUCGGGUUGUAAACCGCUUUAGCCUGUGACGAAGCGUGAGUGACGGUAAUGGGUAAAGAAGCACCGGCUAACUACGUG